GUCGAGUCGGCCUGCGCGGAAGAUGUAACGGGGCUAAACCAUGCACCGAAGCUGCGGCAGCGACGCUUAUGCGUUGUUGGGUAGGGGAGCGUUCUGUAAGCCUGCGAAGGUGUACUGUGAGGUAUGCUGGAGGUAUCAGAAGUGCGAAUGCUGACAUAAGUAACGAUAAAGCGGGUGAAAAACCCGCUCGCCGGAAGACCAAGGGUUCCUGUCCAACGUUAAUCGGGGCAGGGUGAGUCGACCCCUAAGGCGAGGCCGAAAGGCGUAGUCGAUGGGAAACAGGUUAAUAUUCCUG
rnacentral:rRNA from 1 species